AGUGAACGCUGGCGGUAGGCCUAACACAUCCAAGUCGAACGGCAGCACAGUAGAGCUUGCUCUCUGGGUGGCGAGUGGCGGACGGGUGAGGACUACAUCGGAAUCUACUCUGUCGUGGGGGAUAACGUAGGGAAACUUACGCUAAUACCGCAUACGCCCUACGGGUGAAAGCAGGGGACCUUCGGGCCUUGCGCGCUGUACUCAGCCGAUGUCGGAUUAGCUAGUUGGAGGGGUAAAGGCCCACCAAGGCGACGAUCCGUAGCUGGUGUGAGAGGAUGAUCAGCCACGGUGGAACUGAGACACUGUCCAGACUCCUACGGGAGGGAGCAGUGGGGAAUAUUGGACAAUGGGCGCAAGCCUGCUCGAGCCAUACCGCGUGGGUGAAGAAGGCCUUCGGGUUGUAAAGCCCUUUUGUUGGGAAAGAAAUCCAGCUGGCGAAUACCCGGUUGGGAUGACGAUACCCAAAGAAUGAGCACCGGCUAACGUCGUGCCAGCAGCCGCCGUAA
rnacentral:rRNA from 1 species